rnacentral:lncRNA from 1 species
ACUCUUUUUUUACUCUUUUAGCUUUAUUUAGGUCCCAAGACUAAAUUACAUGUAAUCUGAGACUUGAAGUUAGCUGAGGAGAAGCCAAGAUAUCAAGGAAGAAGCUUGUAGAAAAACAAAAAUAUCCAUAGAAGAAACAUUGAGAGAAAUGAGGCCACACCCGAGAGGUAUGCACAUGAAUGAUAGUUUUGACCUUUAGGAAUUUUUUGGGCCAUAAGUGGGCCAAAUGGACUUUAAUGAAGCAAAAAUCAAAGCCAUGUGAUAAUUGCCUACU